GUGAAAUACAGAGGCACUUACCAACAGAGAAGAAACAGAACAAUACCAUUCGGCGGCGGAGAAGAAAAGGAACCUUGUGCCUCAGGACCAUGGACCAGGUGGCAUCAGAAUCUAGCAUACAGUCCUUUUCCCGGCUAAGUCCCAAGCACAGUUCUGCGUUGUUCUUCUUGCUCCCUGUCGUGGAUGCACCAGUCAGCAUCAUCUAGGCUUACUGACUCCAGCAAAAUCCAACCUGAUGCGAUCGACAUUUGACAUUUCCUGGAAUUCUUCUCAAGGGAUGUUUUCUGCAUCCUGUGUGUGUGUGUGUGUAUUUAUUUUUAUCACUACCAUGAAUACCUGUGAGAAGAACAGCUUGCUUAGCUUUGUUUUGGAAGUUCAAGGGCAUAGAGCUGACAUUGUCGUUUCUGCAAGGGUGACACCAUGGCUAACAGCCAUGCUUGGGAGCAUUUGCGGGAGAAGUUGGUUUCAGUUCUAUACAUGAGACCGAAGAACAAAAGAGACGUGGAAAUCAGCUCAGGCUUGGUAGCGAUGUGCUUCCAUAGAACUCACGUGAGAAGAUUAAGAUUUCUUCCAAGAGAAGCAGCUCCAUUGGCCAAGAACCUGCCAUCAGGUUUUACUAUUUUUUUACAUGUAUUUUUGUUAUUCAAUAUUAUAUGUUUAUAUGUAUAUGUGAGUGAAAGUAUCUACAGAAGCUGUCAGAUCCCUGGAGCUGGAGUUAUAGGCAGUUGUGAAGGCAGAGGUGAAUGCUGGGAACCAAACUCUGAUCCUGGGUAAAGUAGUAUGUGUCUUAAUCAUGGAGCCGUCUCCCCAGCUUCCGUAUCCUACUUCAUAAACGUUCCCCAUAGCAUCACUCUGAGGACCAAGCCUCCAACACCUGAGCCUGUCAGAGGAUGUGCAACAGCCACCCCAUAACACACAGCUUUCUUUAUCCAGGGUCCCAAAGACCAUUUGCUAUUGCCUUGAUGUCUGUUGAUCAUGACUUUCCAUU
rnacentral:lncRNA from 1 species